GUUGAAACCCCUCUCCUCGUACGAUCACCGAAGUUAAGCAACGCUGAGCCUGGUUAGUACCAAGAUGGGUGAUCACUUGGGAAUACCAGGUGAUGUAA